rnacentral:rRNA from 1 species
UACAGAGGGUGCAAGCGUUGUUCGGAAUUAUUGGGCGUAAAGGGUGCGUAGGCGGUGCGGUAAGUCUGUAGUGAAAUCUCUGGGCUCAACUCAGAGUCUGCUAUAGAAACUGCCGUGCUUGAGUGUGGGAGAGGUGAGUGGAAUUCCCGGUGUAGCGGUGAAAUGCGUAGAGAUCAGGAAGAACACCCGUGGCGAAGGCGGCCCACUGGGCCGGUGCUGACGCUGAGGCGCGAAGGCGUGGGGAGCGAACGGG